rnacentral:rRNA from 1 species
UACGUAGGGUGCAAGCGUUAAUCGGAAUUACUGGGCGUAAAGCGUGCGCAGGCGGUUAUACAAGACAGAUGUGAAAUCCCCGGGCUCAACCUGGGAAUUGCAUUUGUGACUGUAUGGCUAGAGUGUGUCAGAGGGGGUAGAAUUCCACGGUGUAGCAGUGAAAUGCGUAGAUAUGUGGAGGAAUACCGAUGGCGAAGGCAGCCCCCUGGGAUAACACU